AUCAGGGAUCAAAUCUCCUUAUGGAGAGUUAAAAAACAAUCUCUUACCCUUAAUUGAGGUGAAAAAGCUGACAUAAGUCAACUGAUUGAUAAGAUGGCAAAUGUAGUAGAGUCCACCCUUUGUGCACUAAACUCUUUCCUCCUUUAUGAGAGGACUGGAUACAUGGUUGCUCAUUUAGAGCCUAUUAUUUCCCCUCCUUCCUUUCCACAGGUAAUUCCCUGCCAGCAGAAUGAGUGGAGGUGAUAAGUGCCAUCCCUUAGUCUAGGCUAUGAGACGAAAUCUAAAAUGCUGAGGAACAUUUUAACCUGUUGCAAAUGGAAACUGUUGGAAACUUCUACAUCAGCUGGCCAUUCAAAUAACACUCUUGGCAAUUCAGAAAAACUAGUAAGGCCAUAUUUGAAGACUGUCAGCCAGCUCUUAAGGCUCUCUUCUUUAUCAUGGCAUAGGAGCUUCUCAACACAGAUGGACUUUUUAAUGGUCCCUGUUCUACAGAUGAAGAAUUAAAGAGAAAUAAGGCUGUGUUUUGUCUGAAGCUACGCCAACUUUGUGAAUAAAAUAAGGAAUGAUUACUGGACCA
rnacentral:lncRNA from 1 species